GCCCGUAUGGUGUAGUGGUCUAGCACGUUGCUUUCCGGAGACGGUGUGCGGCAAGGGUCCGGGGUUCAACUCCCCGUGCGGGUU